GAACCAUACUCCCUCCCUUCAGAAUGGAUGUGAGUACACUCCAGACAGACUCUCCACUUGGCCUGGGCGGAGGUGACUGGCUGGACGGAGGACUCAGGAAACAGGAUUGGGAUGCCUUGAGAAGCACCUGCCCUCCAAGACCUCAGCCAAGGAGCACAGGACUGUGCCUGGCCUCAAAAUCAAAGGUUCUGGAACACGGUGCCUCGGAAUUCCCACAAGUCUCUGGUGUGUGAGAUAACCAUGCUUUUUGCCCCUGAGGGGCUCACUGGACAGUCAGAGAGACAAUGUGAUCCAGUAUCCACGUGGCAAGGGGGCAGGUGGGUGAGAAGGGCUGUGGGUGGCUGACAAGAGCUAAGGCCUUGGAGGCAGGUGACAGAUUUGGGCAGCAGGCCCCCACCCUUUUGGAGGCUUGGAUUUAAUUUUCAAGUAACCCCCGCCCAUUUCCAUCCUGCACCUGGCUUGUUUCCUUCCGCACCUGAUCCCAUUCUAUAAUUACACACUCACUCGUUUAUUAUCUAAACCCUCCUCUGAGAAGGAAAACUCGAGAGGGAAAGCCUGUUGCCGCCUCAUCUGCCAUUUCUACCCAGAGCCUGACCGAGGCCCGUGCAAUGAAAGUGCUGGAAAAGUCCUGUCGCCUGCAUAAAGCAGUGGUUUCUUGCCCUUCACCGGAGCCUGGGACGCCGAGCAUCUGGGCCUGGAACGCGGACAUGCGUGGGAGGGACGCGAAACUGUACCGGCAGCACUGGGAAAGAAUCGCUCUUUGUCCUAACCUUCGUGUGCACCUGUUGUCCCAAAUCCUUGACAAACACUGUCAUUCGCCUUCCAAACCUUUCUGUGGAUGCAGCUCCGGGGGCGGGGGGGGGGCGCAGGCGGGAGCGCAAGGAGCUACAUUCCGCGCAUUCCUGCCUCCUGACAGCUCCUGGUACCGCGGUUGUGAGCCUGAGAUGUCCAAAAAUUCCAGCUGACUCAUCCGUGGGUGAACAAGGCCAACACGAGGGAACGGGUGGAAUCUCCUGGGGUCUGCCUCUGACGAGGCCCCAAUUCAGAGGGAAAGCGGGGCAGGGUGAGGGGCGAUGGCCAGGAUUCGGGCUGUUUCUGCCCGAGUGAAAGUGUCCCUUCGGGUGCCAGGAAGUGGUGACAGGUGCAUGGCGGCGUUGUGGGUGGGAACUGGGAAACCUCAGCUACCUGCAUUUGAGUUCUGGCUCCAUCUUUGGAACCUCAUUAAACCUCUCUGGGCCUCAGUGUCCUGGAGUGGAAACAAGGGAGGUAAUGCUUCCGACUCCAGAGCACGGUGGUGGGGAUGAAGCAAGAAUGUGGCUUAGACACAGAGCACCGUCUUGGCACAGAGGAAUUGCUAAACAAUGAUGACUUGUGCUAGGCCAUCCCCCUUUGGACGCAAUGACGUGAGACUCGCUUCCAGGCGAGCAGGCGAGUGUGUAAUAGGUCCUUGCUUCCUCCUCCAGGGCAGAAGCUGCAAAACAGGUGGGGAGAAUGUCCCUGCCCCACUGUGGGAUUGUGGGUAGGGUGGACUCUCCCCUGUCACCCGCAGAGUGUCCAUGAGCAGAGGGCUGCAGUGCACUCAGGAAUAAGUCCAUGCUGACCCAGCAGAGACUUUUCUG
ensembl:lncRNA